rnacentral:rRNA from 1 species
GCAGUCGAGCGAAGCUUGAGAAGCUUGCUUCUCUGAUGGUAGCGGCGGAGGGAUGAGUACCUCGGGUGUAACCUACCUAUAAGACUGGGAUGCCUCCGGGAAACCGGGGCUAAUAACGGAGAUAUAUUGAACCGCAUGGUUCCCUGUUGAAAGACGGUUUCGGCUGUCGCUUAUGCAUGGACCCGCGCCGAAUUAUCUAUGUGGUGAGGUGACGGCUUACCAAGGCAACAAUGCGAAACCGACCUGAGAGGGUGAUCAGGCACACUGGAACUGAGACACACAAUGGACUCCUACCUGAGGCAGCAGGCCGAAUCUUCCGCAAUGGGCGAAAGCCUGACGGAUAACGCCGCGUGAUGGAUGAGAGUCUUACGAUCGUAAAACUCUGUUGUUAAGGAAGAACCAAUUUGUUAGUAACUGAACAAGUCUUGACGGUACCUAACCAUAACUGCACGGCUAACUACCUGCCACCACUCGCCGUAAUACAUAUGUGGCACGCGUUAUCCGGACUUAUUGUGCGUAUAACGCGCGUAGGCUAUAUCCUAGGUCAGAUGUGAGAACCCACGACUCAACCGUGGAGGGUCAUUGAUAACUGGAGAACUUGAGUGCACAAGAGGAAAGGGCUGUACCAUGUGUAACGCUGAAGUGCGCAGACAUAUGGAGCAACACCGAUGACAUACGCUGCUCUCUGGUCUGUAACUGACGCUGAUGUGCGAAACCGUGCAGAUGAAACCUGGAUUAGAUACCCUGAUACUCCACGCCAUCCACCAUGAGAGCUAAGUGUUAAGAUUAUACCUCCCCUUAAUGCUGCAGCGAAUGCAUUAACCACUCAGCCUGUGGAGUACUACCGAACAGCUGAAACUCAAUGAAUUUGAUUUGACAUCCCCACAAUCUGCUAGAGCAAUGUGGUUUAAUCUCUUAAGCAAACCCGAAUGAACCUGUAGCAGAAUCUGUGAUGAUCCUCUUGAUCCGCUCUAGAGAUAGUAGUUUUCACC